rnacentral:lncRNA from 1 species
CAGGAAUGUAGACAAUUCAGAGGCUUUGUUCCCCAUAAUUUGGAACUUUCCUUCAGAUUUGACCAAGUCUAGUAGAGAUGAUCAAAUCUAAUGGGAAAAAGACUGAAACAACAAAAACAGAAACAGGCAAACAAAACCAACAGUUACAGAUGUAUAAAGAAGCCAAGUUUAUUACAACCGAAGGCCACAAAACAUGGAGAAGACUUAGUGUGGAGAAAGUAAACAGUCAAAUGUCCUUUGACCACUUACAGAAUGCAUUUCUCAUUCCAUUUCAUCAAAGUGUCAACAUUCUGACUCUUAGUCCUUGUCCCCAUCUUUGCCUUCAGAGAGAGUAUAAGGAAUCCGAAGGUUGCCCUGCACACGGCUCAGGGUCGGGCUGCACUGGCAGUCUGUGGUGGACAGACUUGGUCUUCCUGUGUCUGCUGAGGUGAGACUUGAGGCUGAAGCCCCGCCCACACGUCUUGCACACAUAUGGCUUCUCCCCCUUAUGUGUCAUUUGAUGUAAGGUGAGGUGUGACUUUUGGAGAAAGCCUUGGCCACACUCUCUGCACACACAAGGCUUCUCUUCCGAGUGAGCCCGCUUGUGUGUGAUUAGAGCUGACUUAUUGCCAAAGCCCAGUCCACACUGCCUGCACAUGUAGGGCUUCUCCCUCGAGUGCUUCCGCUUGUGCCUGAUGAGACCGGCCUGGUGGCUAAAGCCUCGCCCGCACUCCCGGCACACAUACGGCCUCUCCCCUGAGUGCGUCCUCUGGUGUGCAACAAGGUUUGACUUCUGGCUGAAGCCUCGCCCGCACUCCCCACACACCAUGGGCUUCUCCCCUGAGUGCGUCCUCUGGUGUCUGAUGAGGUUGGACUGCUGGCUGAAGCCCCGGCCACAGUCCUUGCACACAAUGGCUUUUCCCCUGAGUGCGUCCUCUGGUGUAUGAUGAGGUUUGACUUCUGGCUGAAGCCUCGCCCACACUCACUGCACAUGUAAGGUUUCUCACCGGAGUGUGUCCGCUCGUGUAUGAUUAGCGUUGACUUCCGGUUAAAGCCUCGUCCACACUCCCUGCACACAAUUGGCUUCUCCCCCGAGUGUGCCUUCUGGUGUCUGGCGAGGCUCUUCUUUAGGCUGAAGCCCUUCUCACAUACCCCACACACGUAGGGCUUCUCCCCUGAGUGUAUCCGCUGGUGACUGAGCAGGUUUGUCAUCUUGCUGAAGCUCAGUCCACACUCUCCACAGUUGACUGUUCCAAAUCCUAAGACUUCUAUCCUCUUCAACAAUUUGUCUGUUUCCUCAGGGUUCCCUGACUGAGCUGGGCUGGCUUCUAACUCCACCCCUCUGAGGCCGUUCCGAGAGCUGACUGGCUGCCUCUGGGGUGGCCUGGAGAACGCUCCCAGAGUCCUUUUCUUGGUUCUUCCAAACAAAGGCAUGGCACCUUCUCCCUCAGGACCUUCUGCUUGAUCACUCCAGGGUCUCCCCUCAGAGGCUUGUUGCUGCUUCUCCUGGCCCCCUGGGCCCGGAUCCCCAGGCUGGAUGUUACCUUCUGCACACAAGCAUGUGAAGAUCCAGGGGGGAUGAUUACACAGCACAUGCUGCAUGGGGAAUUUCUGACUGGAGAAACCCGGAGGGCAGAAAGGAUCGAGGUAGAGCUCUGGCUCUGGAUCUGCUGCAGAGAGAAAAGUAGCUCUGGUGGCCUUUACCUCAGGCUUUGAUGACAGACAGAGAAACCAACAAUUUAACCUGAUGCCUGCCUCUCCCCACGCCAGUGCUGAGGAGCUCCUGCAGAGAAAGCCUGCUCUUCCAGCCCUUGUACUCAGGACAGGUGCCGGGUGGUCCCUCAAGACCCUUUUUCAGCAGUAAAUCCUAGCUGCUUUCACUGAGUUCUCACUAGGUUUAUUUGGUUUAAUCUUGGUUGUCUGAGGUUCCACAACUCAUAACUGAUUUUGUGUUCUAUUUCUGGCCAGCAACUUCCUUGAGAUUAUGGAAACUUGAGUUGGGUGGAGUUGUCAGAUUUGAUUUAUUGGCUAUUUUGUUUCUCUUGAAUACGACAGGAGAAGGGAAGCAACUGCUCAUAUCUCCUUGGUUUACCUUCAUACAUAUUAGGGCAUAGUCAUGGGUAAGUAGGUCUUUCAGCAGUAAAAGGAACUCCUGUGUCUGUCCUGAGUUAAGCACAGUGACUAUGAUUUUGACACAGGUAGUACCUCCCACCCACCCUUAUAAGAACCAAGGCUUCUGAUAUGUAGGCUUAUUACAGCCCUAGCUGCUGUGCCUAUAUGUAAAGUGUCAGACUUUCAUUUACACUAAAUGUAUUUCAGAAUUAUAGAAGCGCCUUCAGAGAAAUCUUAAUUCAACAUGGUUUUAACAUUUAUAUGGAGUGACAGAAGAAAAACAAAACUUUAAUUUUCCAUUAGUCAAUUUUUUCAGUUGGUCACCAAAUCUGGCAUUCUGUGUAUACACUAGGAAUAUUUAGCCUGAGAAGAAAUUUUAACAC